rnacentral:rRNA from 1 species
AGUGGGGAAUAUUGGACAAUGGGCGCAAGCCUGAUCCAGCAAUGCCGCGUGGGUGAAGAAGGUCUUCGGAUCGUAAAGCCCUUUCGGCGGGGACGAUGAUGACGGUACCCGCAGAAGAAGCCCCGGCUAACUUCGUGCCAGCAGCCGCGGUAAUACGAAGGGGGCUAGCGUUACUCGGAAUUACUGGGCGUAAAGGGCGCGUAGGCGGCGCACCAAGUUAGGCGUGAAAGCCCUGGGCUCAACCUGGGGACUGCGCUUAAGACUGGUGUGCUUGAGGAUGGAAGAGGCUCGUGGAAUUCCCAGUGUAGAGGUGAAAUUCGUAGAUAUUGGGAAGAACACCGGUGGCGAAGGCGGCGAGCUGGUCCAUUACUGACGCUGAGGCGCGAUAGCGUGGGGAGCAAA